AACUCAUGACGCUUUUGUAAAGUAUAUCACAACGUUUUACUUCUUGAUUAAUUGAUCAAGAUUUGAAAGAGUGUUUUAUCUUGAUUCCCGUUUAAUAACGUCCGACUUUGAAAUCUAUAUUAUAUCAAACAUCAAGAUUUGAAAGAGUGUCUCAUCUUGAUUCCCGUUUAAUAACGUCCAACUUUGAAAUCUAUAUUAUAUCAAACGCCAUUCCCCACAAGGAGGCGCUGUAUAAAUGUGCAGCAACCGCAAGCGGAUCUUCAAUCCUGCGGGUAAUUUUCAAUCCAUGUUCAACAACUCAUGACGCUUUUGUAAAGUAUAACAAAACGUUUUCCACAAUGAUUAAUUAGGUAA